GGUACGGGUACGGGUUCUUCCGUAUAUAUAUAUAUUUAAUUUUUUUUUAUAUAUAUAUGUAUGUCAUAAAUUAUAUAUAUGUUCAAACAUCAAAAUUAUAUAUGGUCAUAGUUCAAACAUACAAUGUAACUUUCCCGUACAAUGAUACAUAAAUGAUAGCAGAGAAAUCAUAAAUGAGUUGAAUGAAUGUUUUGAUGCAUGAAAUGCAUCAUAAAGGGGCGGAUUAGGGUUUAGAUGUUAAAAUAGGAUUAUAAAAACCGAUUUUUAUUUGUUUUCUAACCCGUGGGCCCCCUUUUUGGGAACCUACGGGCUUGGAUUCACCCGGGUCCUCCUAGGUUCCUGUCCAGGUGGCUGGGUUCUCUAUGGGUCCUAACCCAGCCGCCUGGCAGGACCCAGGUGGGACCCAAGUCAAACCAGGACCAGGACCUGGGCAUUUUAUGGAAGAACCGGUAUCUGAGACCUAUAAGUUAAAUAUGAACUCUAACUUUCUAAAAUACACAAAUUUGAAAGGAACUCAUCAUGUAUAAGGUCCACAGGUCCAUAACAUUAAAGUUUAAACCAUAGUUACCAAAUAUAGUUUGGUCUAGACUUUUUGGACUAGCCAGAUUUGUAGAAUUAGGUCUGGAUUUUUUCAAUUUUCAUAGGAAUUUUACCCUUUCUUUUUAGAAAAUUUGGGAUCUCCAAAAUUUUUGACCUCCCAAAUGAAUCAAUUUUUUUUAACCUGUUAGAGUUGUAAUUUGCAUCUUUCAAUGCGACACAAAAUAGAUGUACAGUAGAUCUGCUAUUUGAAUAAGGGGAAACUCCUUGCAAAAUAAAAACUAACCUAAAAUUGGACAUGUACUUGUGAUUAUUUGGGUGAUUUAUGUUCAUGGUGAAUAGAAUUUUAUUGUCUCCAACUAGAAAUUUUAUCUAUUUUCUGACUUUUUAAAACAAAGGAAUUUUAUCUAUUUUCUAACUUUUUAAAACAAAACACAAACUAGAACUGAAAAAUAAAAAUGAAACCAAUUGUUGAAAACUUUGUGCCAAACCUUCUAUGUUUGAGAAACAACUUCAGCUUCACCCCAAACUAAUGAAGUUCACUUCUAGAUAGUAAAUAAUCCAAAUGAAAGUUCUGGUUACGGUCUGAUAUGUGAUAGACAAACAACUUAGCAUCCUCUUAUAUGCAAUUACACUCAGAUCUAAGUAGCCAAUGCUCAGAAACUUCAAAUACAGGUGCUGGUAUGACUGAAAAUAAAUGAAUAAGCCCCUCAAAUAUCAAUAAACAUUCAAGAAGGAAACCCUAGGUUAUUAAACUUGCAUGGAUCUGAAUUAAAUACCAAUUUAUCACCUUCAAAAUGCCUUUAUUAGAUUUGCAAAAUGCUAGAGCAACUUACAGUGAUUUAUAUGCACAAUUUCAGAUUUGCAAGAAUUGAAUGUGACUAGAAAUGAUGAAUGUACAGCGGUAGUAUGGUGAAUAUUAAACAAGCUUGGUGGUUGGAUCUUAGUAUAGAAGUACUGUAGAAGCAACAAUGGCGAGGCAAAAGACUUAGCGAGGUCGCAUGGUAGCUGGGAACUAUCAAUUAGAGGUCACACCAGUAGUCCCAAGCCUUCCAAAAUGUUGAUAAUAAAAUAUCUACAAACAGAAAAAAGAUGCUGAUGCUGUUUACCAAAUAGUGUAAUAACCACUCCAACUUUUUUUGAAAUUUUCAUAUGAAGCAAAGCUGCAAUGCAAUGUAUUUCACAUUUUCUGAUCACCUGGUUCCCGAAAUGGUCAAGGUGAGAGCAUACAUGUAUAGGAUCGCACCCAAUUAUGAAGUGCAAAACCAGCCAGAUUUUCCUUCUUCAGUAGAGUCUGCUUGAUGCAAGAAAUUGAAAGGAAACACACUAGGUGGCAAAGCUACCCAAAUCUGCACUUCUUCAGUGGAGUGUGCUUAAUCUAAGAACUGAAAGGAAACGCACUAGGCGGCAAAGCCAACCACUUCUAUGCUUAUUUACUGGAGUAUGCAGUUACAUCAAAAUGUAAAUAUGAAAUCACUGGCAGUACUACCAUCCCAGGUAUUACAAGAUAAUUUUGAAUAAAUAAUUUUGAUCAUUUGUGAGCUUUUCUUUUAGUGACAGGUUUGCAGGAUUCAAAAGAAAUUGUUUAAUCUUUGGAAGGAUUUAGAGGAAACAAUUGAUAUUUUUCCUUGGUGUGGGUUUACCUCAAAUUUGAUGUGGAAUUUCUAUCCUAAAUUCUUGGCGUGUGAACAUUAUUGCCUUUGAAAUGGCAUGGUUUAUAUAAUCAGCAAAGGACGAAUCUGCUAUUUAUUCCUCUUAAGGUGGACGCAAGGGUUUGAGAUCCUGAAGGGUUUCUACUCACUGAAUGAGGGAUUCUUUUGUGGUGUUGUGGGAGUGUUGGAAGAGUUAAGGUACUGCAUGAGGAUUAGCAUCAGAGUGUACUGGGGACGUUGGAAGUUAUUCUCUGCUGUCCUAAUCUUAAUGCUAGUCAAAUCUCAGGACUUAGCUGGGUGUGAACGAGAAGGUAGAUUUAUGGAACGUGGGAUUCAAAUAUGAACAGCAGUGUUGUGGAAGUGAAUUAAAUCACAAAAGAGAUUCAUGAAGGUAGCUUCAGCAGUUUCCUUUCUGGUGGAACAAUACACAUCACCCUAAUCCAUUGUAAUCAUGUUUGAAGAUCUAAGUGCUGGACACAAAUGAUUCUAGUGAUUCUUACAAUCAAAGUUCUUACUCAGCAAGUACAGGAAAAAGGAGUGUUGAGGACCUGGGAAGCAAGGAGGAGCAGGACGACACCAGCAGAUUUAUGGAUCAGCCAACGAGCGCUAGUCAUUCAGGCAAUGACUGGUCACCCUCUAGACAUGCAUUUUAGCAUUUACUUAUUCAUGUGUAAAUUUAGUUUUCAUGUGCAUCAUGCAUAUUGAAUGAACAUGGUCAGUCUCACGGCUUAUUGUGUGAGACAUGCAUUCUAUCAUUUUAAUAAAGCUUACAUUCUUUCCGAAA